UUUUUCUUCUAUUUUU
rnacentral:sRNA from 1 species